UCAAGUUACCAAUAACUGGUUAUCUACUCAUCACUGAAAAUAAUUUUUCCAUGAAAUUAAUAUGUUAUUAUACUGACAUAACCUCAAUAUAGAUCUCUGUUUUCUUCGCUAGGCUACGUCUUCGUAGCGUCCAUUAUUCGACGUCAAUUCAUGGCGUCGGUCACAAUUUCUCAAACUCUUGAACUGAAUUGGAGUAUCUUCUCCGGACCUCGUUUCAAAUUUUGAUUUCGUAGCCUAGUAAUGCGGGCUAAGUGGCGUAAGAAGCGUAUGCGUAGGUUGAAGCGCAAAAGGAGGAAGAUGCGUGCAAGGUCCAAGUAAACCUCGUGCCUUGAUCCUGACAUAUUGUCGUGUUUGGUAAAAAUACAAUGAUGUUGUAACUAUUUUCUAUUGAUAUAAUUAAAAUCUACUUUAUACCACAUCAAAAA